rnacentral:rRNA from 1 species
GACGAACGCUGGCGGCGUGCUUAACACAUGCAAGUCGAACGGAAAGGCCCUGCUUUUGUGGGGUGCUCGAGUGGCGAACGGGUGAGUAACACGUGAGUAACCUGCCCUUGACUUUGGGAUAACUUCAGGAAACUGGGGCUAAUACCGGAUAGGAGCUCCUGCUGCAUGGUGGGGGUUGGAAAGUUUCGGCGGUUGGGGAUGGACUCGCGGCUUAUCAGCUUGUUGGUGGGGUAGUGGCUUACCAAGGCUUUGACGGGUAGCCGGCCUGAGAGGGUGACCGGCGACAUUGGGACUGUGAGACGGCCCAGAGUCCUACGGGAGGCAGCAGUGGGGAAUAUUGCACAAUGGGCGGAAGCCUGAGGCAGAAACGCCGCGUGCGGGAUGACGGCCUUCGGGUGGUAAACCGCUUUCGCCUGUGACGAAGCGUGAGUGACGGUAAUGGGUAAAGAAGCACCGGCUAACUACGUG